UGGUUCUAGGACUUCCCUAACAGCAUGGCCCCUAAACGCCAGUCUCCACUCCUGCCUCAAAAGAAGAAACCAAGACCACCGCCUGCUCUGGGACUGGAGGAGACAUCGGCCUCUGCAGGCUUGCCGAAGAAGGGAGAAAAAGAACAGCAAGAAGCAAUUGAACACAUUGAUGAAGUACAAAAUGAAAUAGACAGACUUAAUGAACAAGCCAGUGAGGAGAUUUUGAAAGUAGAACAGAAAUAUAACAAACUCCGCCAACCAUUUUUUCAGAAGAGGUCAGAAUUGAUCUCCAAAAUCCCAAAUUUUUGGGUAACAACAUUUGUCAACCAUCCACAAGUGUCUGCACUGCUUGGGGAGGAAGACGAAGAGGCACUGCAUUAUUUGACCAGAGUUGAAGUGACAGAAUUUGAAGAUAUUAAAUCAGGUUACAGAAUAGAUUUUUAUUUUGAUGAAAAUCCUUACUUUGAAAAUAAACUUCUCUCCAAAGAAUUUCAUCUGAAUGAGAGUGGUGAUCCAUCUUCAAAGUCCACCGAAAUCAAAUGGAAAUCUGGAAAGGAUUUGACGAAACGUUCAAGUCAAACGCAGAAUAAAGCCAGCAGGAAGAGGCAGCAUGAGGAACCAGAGAGCUUCUUUACCUGGUUUUACUGACCUUUCUGAUGCAGGUGCUGAUGAGUUAGGAGAGGUCAUCAAAGAUGAUAUUUGGCCAAACCCAUUACAGUACUACUUGGUUACUGAUAUGGAUGAUGAAAAAGGAGAAGGAGAAGAUGAUGAUGAUGAUGAAGAGGAGGAAGGAUUAGAAGAUAUUGAUGAAGAAGGGGAUGAGGAUGAAGGUGAAGAAGAUGAAGAUGAUGAUGAAGGAGAGGAAGGAGAGGAGGAUGAAGGAGAAGACGACUAAUAGAACACUGAUGGAUUCCAACCUUCCU